rnacentral:rRNA from 1 species
UGGGAAUAAGCAUCGGCUAACUCCGUGCCAGCAGCCGCGGUAAUACGGAGGAUGCGAGCGUUAUCCGGGAUUUAUUGGGUUUAAAGGGUGCGUAGGCGGAUAGAUAAGUCAGUGGUGAAAUUCUGCAGCUUAACUGUAGACUUGCCGUUGAUACUGUCAGUCUUGAGUAUGGUCAAGGCAGGCGGAAUGUGUAAUGUAGCGGUGAAAUGCUUAGAUAUUACACAGAACACCGAUUGCGAAGGCAGCUUGCUGGGCCAUUACUGACGCUGAUGCACGAAAGCGUGGGGAUCGAACAGGAUUAGGUACCCUGGUAGUCCACGCCGUAAACGAUGAUCACUCGCUGUUGGCGAUACACAGUCAGCGGCUAAGCAAAAGCAUUAAGUGAUCCACCUGGGGAGUACGGCCGCAAGGCUGAAACUCAAAGGAAUUGACGGGGGCCCGCACAAGCGGAGGAACAUGUGGUUUAAUUCGAUGAUACGCGAGGAACCUUACCUGGGCUUAAAUGUAGAGUGCAUUGGUGAGAAAUCAUCAUUUUCUUCGGAACUCUCUGCAAGGUGCUGCAUGGUUGUCGUCAGCUCGUGCCGUGAGGUGUCGGGUUAAGUCCCAUAACGAGCGCAACCCUUAUCGUUAGUUGCCAGCGGGUAAUGCCGGGGACUCUAGCGAAACUGCCGGUGUAAACCGAGAGGAAGGUGGGGAUGACGUCAAAUCAGCACGGCCCUUAUGUCCAGGGCUACACACGUGUUACAAUGGCCGGUACAGAGGGCAGCUACCUGGAGACAGGAUGCGAAUCUCGAAAGCCGGUCUCAGUUCGGAUCGGAGUCUGCAACUCGACUCCGUGAAGCUGGAUUCGCUAGUAAUCGCGCAUCAGCCAUGGCGCGGUGAAUACGUUCCCGGGCCUUGUACACACCGCCCGU